GUGCUCGAUUCAGCAGCACACACACUAAAAUUGGAACGAUAUGGAGAAGAUUAGCAUGGCCCCUUCACAAGGAUGACACGCAAAUUCCUGAAGCCUUCCAUACUUUU
ensembl:snRNA U6 U6 spliceosomal RNA